rnacentral:rRNA from 1 species
UACGUAGGGGGCAAGCGUUGUCCGGAAUCAUUGGGCGUAAAGAGCGUGUAGGCGGCCAGAUAAGUCCGCUGUGAAAACUCGAGGCUCAACUUCGAGCUGUCGGUGGAAACUAUUUGGCUAGAGUCCGGAAGAGGAGAGUGGAAUUCCUGGUGUAGCGGUGAAAUGCGCAGAUAUCAGGAAGAACACCCGUGGCGAAGGCGGCUCUCUGGUACGGAACUGACGCUGAGGCACGAAAGCGUGGGGAGCAAACAGG